rnacentral:rRNA from 1 species
GACGAACGCUGGCGGCGUGCUUAACACAUGCAAGUCGAACGGAAAGGCCCUGCUUUUGUGGGGUGCUCGAGUGGCGAACGGGUGAGUAACACGUGAGUAACCUGCCCUUGACUUUGGGAUAACUUCAGGAAACUGGGGCUAAUACCGGAUAGGAGCUCCUGCUGCAUGGUGGGGGUUGGAAAGUUUCGGCGGUUGGGGAUGGACUCGCGGCUUAUCAGCUUGUUGGUGGGGUAGUGGCUUACCAAGGCUUUGACGGGUAGCCGGCCUGAGAGGGUGACCGGCCACAUUGGGACUGAGAUACGGCGCAGACUCCUACGGGAGGCAGCAGUGGGGAAUAUUGCACAAUGGGCGGAAGCCUGAUGCAGCAACGCCGCGUGCGGGAUGACGGCCUUCGGGUUGCAAACCGCUUUCGCCUGUGACGAAGCGUGAGUGACGGUAAUGGGUAAAGAAGCACCGGCUAACUACGUG